GUUGCUAAUAAUUUUAAUUUUUUAAAAAAUACAGAAAAAGCUCUUCGAUAUUUACUAAGUAACGUCUACUUUGAUUGAUGAUGGAUAUGCUUGGAGAAAAUACGGAGAAAAAGUGAUUAUCAACUCAAAAUACCAAAGGCAUUAUUAUAGGUGUACGCACAAGUUUGAGCAAGGGUGUCAAGCAACCAAACAAGUUCAAAAGACCGACGAUGAGCCACCGAUGUAUAGGACAACCUACCAUCGACACCACACUUGCAAGAAUUCACAAAGAGGGCAUCAAAUCAUUUUGGAUUCUCCAGACUCUAGGGACAGUUCUGUUCUUUUCAGUUUUGAAACAAAUACAAUCAUCAAUAGAAAACAAGUUCGUCCUUUCUCCUCCUCGACUAAACAUAAACCCGAGGAGGGUUUUUCGUGUUUAAGCGUGGACUACAACAAAGUUUCUUUGUCUAAUUAUAACACAACAUGGGAUCAGGUCACACAAUCCAUACAGAUUCCACUGGAACCUAAGUCUAUGAUGUCAUCAGGGUUAGAUCAUGAGGACAUGGUCUCCCCCGGGGUAUACUCGUCUACAUGUAGCACACAUCAAUAUGAGACUAAAGAUGUGUUCAGAAGCAAUGAUAUUAGUGACUUCUGACUUGUGUUAUGCAAAUAGUUAGUUUUCAUUUUGAAUAAUAUGUAUCUUCAA